rnacentral:lncRNA from 1 species
UUGUACUGAUAUAAUCUUCAGUCUUUUAUUCCAAAACACUCAGUGGCUAAGAGGGCAAUGCAGUGGUUUGAUUUUUGAGACAUCAAGAGGAUGCUACAAAUAAUAUGCUUAGUAUGCAUUUAUAUAGAUUUCUGUGGAAAAAAAAAUUGAAGCAGAUAAAAAUGGAUUUUGAUGUUCUACAGAUUACUCACGGUACCAUAAUAAUUUCAUGUUCUGAAAGGAACUAUUUUCUUGGGACAGAAAAGAAUCCUGUUUGAUCAGUCAACAGUCAAGAAAAGGAGAAGGAAGCAAUCUUAUUUCUGUUUGUACCUGAUUCUUCCCCUGAGUUCAUUUUCUAAGAGACUACAUAACCUUUUCAGAAUAAAGAACUGUUUUUCUCUUUAGAGCUCAGAAUCAGAUUUUUUUCAUUCAUGAAACGAGUGAAUACACACUUAAGCUAGCUGAGGCACUCUUAUAAAUCCCAGCUGUUUUUCAACAUAACAGUCUCCACAGCUCCAUCUUUUCAUUACAACUCCACAGUUAAAAUGACACACACAGAAGUCUUACAGUGCCUAACAACCUUCUUUGCUGUUAUACUCACCUCUCCACUUGGCUUCACCCGGAACAAGAUGACAAGCAUUCCAUAUGCUGUGCUGGGAGGACUAUGAUUCCUGAUACCAAUAAUUUCUUCUUCCUCAUUGUAGGAACUACUUGGGGUAAUUUUAUGUUUGUUUGCUAAUGUACUCUGUGCUCUUUCUUCAGUGGUCCACAACUCCAGUGCUUGCAGACCAACUGGAAUCAUUUAUAAAUACCAACAGAAAUAAUGAAUUUUCUGCAUGAAAAUGUUGCAAUUUCUUUAGAUAUACACAUAUGAAAGGACUACUUCAAAGAAUUGUUUGGCUUAUAUUGCAGUAUUAAGGCCAUCUGUAAGGAAAACUCAUUUAAGGAGUUAUAAAACAACAAUUUCCAGUAACAAAGUAAAGAGCCAAACAUGAGUAAGAGAUCAUGAGCUCAGAUCAGUAUUUUAAGUAAAUAUACUUGCUGAUGACAGAGCUGGGUUUGUAUAAAAUGGGAUAAGAAAACAUAAGGAGGAAGACAUGGAACUCAGGUAUUUUCACUUACAAAAGGGAAAGAAUGAAUGACUUCUUAUGCCACUAGAGAUAGAAUAAAACAUAACAGGGCUCACUUAAAAUGCAACUUGCUUAGAUUCAUGUGUAUAAAUAAUAUAUGUGUAAGUAAUGUAUGUUUACAUAUAUAGUUUUCCAUAUGUACUUUGGGAAGCUGUCAUGAUUUUGUAACUUUGCUAUUGGUAUUCCACAUCAUAUCAUGGACAAAAGAGAAGAACUACGUAUCCAAGAGGACCUCACAGUCAGAGAAGGAAUAUACAUCACAGAAGAUACGUCAUCUGGUUGCGCACAGUCUUUUUCACUUUCGCUAGCUGCCAGGGAGAGGAGUGGGUGUGCAUUCCAAGCUGUGCGCCUUCAUCAAGUAGGGCUUUCAGUUUCGGAAACUCUCUCACUCUCUCUCUCUCUCUCUCUCUAUCGCUCUUUCACUCUCUCUCAUUUCAUUUGAUUUAUUAUCCUUACUCCCAAUUAGAUUGUAUGUUAUCGUGUCAUCUUGCACUCCAACAUCGUAGUUAGUAAAAUAAGUUCUC